AUGAGCAACGGCACCUACUCGGCCAAGUCCUGUUACCAGGCAAUGUUCACCGGCUCCAUGAUCGCCCCGCAUUGGAAGCUCACUUGGCGCACUUGGGCCCCUCUCCGCAUCCGGUUCUUCGCUUGGCUGGCUGGCAUGGAUCGCUGCUGGACUGCCGCCCGGCUGGCCCGGCACGGGCUGCCGCACGAUGAUCUUUGCACGCAUUGUGACCAGGAGCUCGAGGCGAUCGAUUACCUGUUCCUCCACUGCCCGUUCUCCAGGACCAUUUGGCAUGAGAUUUUCGCUUGGUGCCAUGCCCCGAUCCCCCCUCCCCAGGGCCCCGAGAUCUCCUUCUUCAGCUGGUGGUCGGCUUUCGUCGGGGCCGCACCCACUGCCAUGCGCAAAGGGCUCUCCUCCUUGGUGCUUCUCUCCGCCUGGUCCAUCUGGCGUCACCGCAACGCAUGCAUCUUCGACAAUGCCAACCCUUCCACCGCGCUGCUUCUCCAGGCCAUCAAGUACGAUGCUAGGGUUUGGGCUAUGGCUGGCGCUAAAGACAUAGCUAAUCUCAUGCCGCCUUGA
rnacentral:rRNA from 1 species